rnacentral:lncRNA from 1 species
UCGGGUCCACCAAACUUUUAAGGGAAAAAUUGUUUUUUAGAGCAAAAAAAUGAUAACUAUGUCCAUUUAGACUAAUCUCAUAUACUUUAUGUCCCAUUAGACUAAUUAUUUUCAAAAUGGCAAUAAUGCCCUUAAAAUUGUAAUUUUUAAAUAUAAUAAAUAAUGAAUUUGUUUUUUUUGUUUUUUUUUAAAAUUGAUUUUUUUUUUCAAAAUAUUCCCAAAUAUUUUGUUUCCAUAUUUUUAGAAACUGAUUUCUUAUCCGUAAAAUACAACUAGUCUGUAGAAAUCAGUUUCUACAGGUUUUUAGAAUUAUAGUAAUGUGUAGAUUUUGAUUUCUCCAUGUUUUAGAUUUACA